rnacentral:rRNA from 1 species
UUGAUCCUGGCUCAGAACGAACGCUGGCGGCGCGUUUUAAGCAUGCAAGUCGAGCGGUAACUACCCUUCGGGGUAGCUAGAGCGGCGAACGGGUGAGUAACACGUAGAUAAUCUGCCUUGAGGUUGGGGAUAGCCUGUGGAAACACAGGGUAAUACCGAAUAAGCCCUAUGGGGGAAAGGUGCUAAGGCACCGCCUUAAGAUGAGUCUGCGGCUCAUUAGUUAGUUGGUGGGGUAACGGCCUACCAAGGCGACGAUGAGUAGCCGGCCUGAGAGGGUGGACGGCCACACUGGGACUGAGACACGGCCCAGACUCCUACGGGAGGCAGCAGCUAAGAAUCUUCCGCAAUGGGCGCAAGCCUGACGGAGCGACGCCGCGUGAACGAUGAAGGCCGUGAGGUUGUAAAGUUCUUUUCUUACUGAAGAAUAAUUACCCGAGGGAAUGCGGGUAAGAUGACGUUAGGUAAGGAAUAAGCCCCGGCUAAUUACGUGCCAGCAGCCGCGGUAACACGUAAGGGGCAAGCGUUGUUCGGAAUUAUUGGGCGUACAGGGCGUGUAGGCGGUUUUACAAGUCUGGUGUGACAUACCGCAGCUUAACUGCGGGGACGCGCUGGAAACUGUAAGACUAGAGUACAGGAGGGGGACCUGGAAUUCCUGGUGUACGGGUGAAAUCUGUAGAUCUCAGGAAGAACACCGGUGGCGAAGGCGAGGUCCUGGCCAUGUACUGACGCUGAGGCGCGAAAGCGUGGGGAGCGAACCAGGAUUAGAUACCCUGGUAGUCCACGCCGUA